AACCUUUGCGUUGUAGUAAUUAAUGCGUUAAGUGGUUUUGGUGUAGAAGGCACAGAGCAUCCCGAUCAACUGAUGACGGUUGGAAGGAGCCUUCUCUUUCGCAUCCCUCCAUGCCCACCGUCCUUAUGUAAGCCUCGUCCGAUAAGAAUCCCUCCCCGACGUCGUACACCUCCACCCCCUCCACGGCAUUGAAGGUUUCCAAAAGGCAAAAACACAUGGAUCCCAAAAUAUUUGGAUGAAAAUAUAUUUUCGUAAUUCCUCACUAUAAAUGUAAUUCUGAAAUUUUCUUUCAAAAUAAAGAGAUCAUGCCACUCGGGAUGAUGGUAUGAUGAUAUGUUGUUGUAAGUUUUAAGCUAUUGUAUGAUGAUAUAUUUGUUGAUAUUAUUCAACGUAAAUAAAUAUAGUUUAUGGAUUUGUGUCGAUAGAGAAACUGGAAAGAAAGAAAAUUUUUAAAAGAAAGAAAUGAGAAGAUGUUUGAUACGACCUUCGAUAUUUUACAAAUGAUAUUUUCAAGUAAUUAUAAAUAUUAUUCAAUAGUAAUAUACUAAUAUAUAAACAAAAUAUAAUUGCAAAAAAUAUUUGAUGGUAAUUUUUCUUUUACUAAUAUUUAUAAUUUUUUUUUAAAAAAGCUUUACUAUUAAAUAUAUUUAUAAUUACUUAAAAAAAAAGUUUUUGUUAUUAUCUUAGUAUAUAUCUAUACUAUUAUUUGAGAAGUAAAUUUGCUGAUGUGUCAUCUUCUCUAUAAUAUUUGGUAUUUUUUAUUUGUCAUAUUUUUAAUAAUUUUAGUUAGUAAAAAAAACUUUUAAAUAGAAACAAGUAAAACCAUAAAUCUCUGAACCUAUACAACAUCUCAAGUGAUAAUCCGUAUAUCAUAUUAUAUAAAUUUUAGUUUUAAAAGUUAUUAAUUAACACGAUUGUCACAUAAUAAUUAUAUAUUUAAGAUUUUGACUUGUAUUCAUAAUCAAAAAAAUACUUUUAAGAGCAUUUCCGGCCGUAUACAUACACCACAUGAAGCGUACUACAAAUCAUGUAUGGUUAUGGCAUCCAAGGGGGGAGUGUUAUAAAUCAUGGAGUGGAUUGCCAUUAACCAGGUCCGGUCCAAGACCGGCCCAAUACCUAGAAGAUGGAGAGACGGCCGAAGCCCUAGAGAGAGGAGAGAGAGAGCCGACUUCAGGAGAGAGAGAGGCGGCCACAAAGCUUGGAGAAAAUGAAACUCUUUCAUUUUUCCUAGUAGAUGUAAUUUUUUCAUCAUUAUGUAUUAGUAGUUUUCCUAAUCCUAUUGAGUUUAGGUUUUGGAUACUUUCCAUUUAUCUUCAUUUUGUAAUCAUUAUAUAAAGGAACUCCCUUGAUCAUUAAUAAUAACACAGAAAUAUUCAGUCUCUAAACUCUCUAAUUACAACACGUUAUCAGCACGAUAGACUCCAAAACCCUGAGACAAAACCUAACCUAAAUCCGUCACACAUAAACCCUAAUCCAGGCGCAACUUAAAAUCGAUCUAUCUCUCAAACCCCGAGGAACCAGACGACGAGCCACAUAUCAAAUUGAAGCUCUUGACGAGAAGAAUCCAUCAGGGCAAACCGUUCGUCGAUCCGAGCUCAGACGCGCCCUCACUCGCAGAAACAAUACACGGCACCGUCUUGGUCUUUUGGAACCCUAAUCCGAACCAACAAGAUUUUCUAGCCAAAUUCAAAUCCUGUGAAAGAUAAGUUUUUUAUACCUUAGUUGUUUGAUGAUAUCUUGUUAAGAUUAUGGUGUUCAUGUAAUCUAAUACUCCUUGUUUUUAUUUCAUGAGCUGAGAGGAGUUGGUGCAAAGAUCUAAUCUCGAAGAACCCUAAAUUGUUCUUGCUUGCGUUCCAGCAACCUUUGCCGUCUCAGCCUGAUACGAUCUUAGCUCAGAUGAUCUCUUACGUCCUCAGCUUGCAUCCCGGACGUCCUCAGCUUCACAUUCGGCAUCACAGACAGCUCGCGUCUCGUCCCAUCUUGCGACCCGAUAAAGGAGCUAGCUCGCGUCCGUGUGCAACUAGAGGUUCAUCUGACUUUGGUGGUCCGGUUCAACCCUACAAAAUAAAGGUAAUUCGAAAUCUGAAAACAAGAAUCGAACCUGGUUGUUUUCUAAAGAUUGAAACCAUAAAAGAUAAUCUCUAAAACUAAAAGUCAUAGGUUAAAUAGAUCAAUCCCCUAUGAGUAAAUCGAAGCUCUAUAAGUUCGAUCUAAACCUAAAAACGAGAUUGAUCCAUUGAUCAAUUAAAAUCAGAACCUUAAAGGUUUUUGAAUCUCAAAUCAAAUCCCCUUGAUCAAAGAUCAAAGUUUUCAAAAUCCCCUAAAACCCUAAUUUUGGAAAAUCGGUUUUUAAUUUUGAUUUGAAACUUGAGUGUUUGAUUGAUCGCCUAGAGCUAUGAUUAGUAUUAUUUUAAAACUUGAAUCUGAAUCUUGUUUAAACUAAAACCCUAAUCUCGAAUUUUAAAAUUCCUAAUGGCCUUGAAACCCUUAAUCUUGAUUGAUAUUUCUAAAGGCCUUGAAACCUUAAAUCUCUCAUUACUUAAAGCUUGAAAGAUUGAUUUAAAGAAUUUACAUAUUGAAUGAGAGUUAGGUUGCUAGAUAAUUUAAUUCUAAAACCUAAUAGAUAUGCAACUAAGAAAUAUGAUUGAAUGCAUCUAGAUCCCAUUUUGUAUAUGGCCGUGUGACCUAAUACAUUGUUCAUACUUGCGGCCUUGUGCCCUUGAUUGAUUAAAAGCCGUGUGGCUUAGUGCAUAUCAAAGUGACCGUGUGGCCUAGUAUCCGGAUGGUUAUAUAAACCGGAUUGCAUCAUGAUCUGAUCCUUAAGAUCGUUGUAUCUUAUAACGGCCGUGAGGUAUAAGUGUCACAAUGCAAAGCCGUAUGGCCUAAGCAUUAUAUAGAGACUUAUGAAAUCAUGUGCACUGAUUAUUUGAAUUGGUUGCAAAAAUUCUAAAUCAAGAAUUGAUUGAUAAUAUGAUUUCAGAUGCCGAGAUUUGAACCCAUGGAUUAUGCCAUUCUAAAUCUCUCUGGAGAUAAUUAUCUAGAAUUGGAAAUGAACACUUCAAAUUGCCCUGAAGUCUAAAGGACUCGGGAAAUGUAUCAUUGAAAGAAAUGAUGAAAGUGAAAGUGAAAAGUUAAGAGCCAUAACUAUUAUGAGCCAUAAUCUCACUGAGGAACUGAGAAAUCAGUAUUUACAUAUCAAGAAUCCUCGUGACCUUUGGACAUAAUUAAAGUCCAGAUACAUUAUGCUAUUAUUACCAAAGGUCAAACAUGAAUGGAUGAGUCUCAGAUUCCAAGACUUUGAGACAGUGGCUGAGUUUCACUUUGCCUUGUCCAGGAUCGUGUACCAACUGAGAUUAUGUGGAGAAGAGAUAACAGAUAAUGAUUGUCUAUUCAAGAAAUACUCCACAUUCCAUCCAGAAGAUUUGUUGUCAAAACAUAUCUACAUAGAAAGAGGUUCUACCACUUACAAUGACCUGAUCUCUUGCCUAAACGGUGAUUGAGAAUGACAAGGUACUAAAGAAAAGUAGUGAGAUGAAAUAUCCUGAGGAAAUGGAUCAAGAUGAAUCCAGGACAGUCGUGUCCAAUACAAUAGAUGGACAUGCCGGCUUAUCUAUUUAACUAAAAAGAUCUCGACAUGAUAAUUUUAUUUUAAGUCUAUGAUUUUGUGAUUUGCUUUUAAACCUACUUGAUGUUUCACGAUUUUAUAUAUAUAUAUAAAAGAAUUGAUUUUGAAUUCAUUAUCUUGCCUGAUCUUACUUGAACAUAUGAAUGAUUCUAUUUUUGCCUAAAGGGCAUAAAACCAAGUAAGAAAUCAUGAAUGGGUAUAGUAAGCAUAGUAAAGAAACUAUGGCUAAGGCAUUGCCUUAAAAGGCAUUAUACAUACCCAUAAGAACAUGUGACCCAUUGAAAUUAUAAUGUAUGGUUUCCAAGUAGAAACAAUGGGUAAGGAAGGAAACAAGUUCUUUUAAAAGAAAAACGUCUAAGACCUUGAAAGAAAUUGGUCAAGACUAUACCUAUGAUCUCUACUGAUUAAAACUAUGCUAUAAGAUCAGUAUGAUAAGAGACAAGAGAAGUGGUAACCAUAUUGAGAUAACACCACGAAAUUUUACACUAUGUCUUGCCUAAACGGUGAUUGAGAAUGACAAGGUACUAAAGAAAAGUAGUGAGAUGAAAUAUCCUGAGGAAAUGGAUCAAGAUGAAUCCAGGACAGUCGUGUCCAAUACAAUAGAUGGACAUGCCGGCUUAUCUAUUUAACUAAAAAGAUCUCGACAUGAUAAUUUUAUUUUAAGUCUAUGAUUUUGUGAUUUGCUUUUAAACCUACUUGAUGUUUCACGAUUUUAUAUAUAUAUAUAAAAGAAUUGAUUUUGAAUUCAUUAUCUUGCCUGAUCUUACUUGAACAUAUGAAUGAUUCUAUUUUUGCCUAAAGGGCAUAAAACCAAGUAAGAAAUCAUGAAUGGGUAUAGUAAGCAUAGUAAAGAAACUAUGGCUAAGGCAUUGCCUUAAAAGGCAUUAUACAUACCCAUAAGAACAUGUGACCCAUUGAAAUUAUAAUGUAUGGUUUCCAAGUAGAAACAAUGGGUAAGGAAGGAAACAAGUUCUUUUAAAAGAAAAACGUCUAAGACCUUGAAAGAAAUUGGUCAAGACUAUACCUAUGAUCUCUACUGAUUAAAACUAUGCUAUAAGAUCAGUAUGAUAAGAGACAAGAGAAGUGGUAACCAUAUUGAGAUAACACCACGAAAUUUUACACUAUGUGGCAUGAUAGGAUUAGCCAUCCUAAAGUCUAAACUUGAUGCAAAGAUUGAAAAGGCACAGAGUUAUCCCGUAAAAGAUCUCACGUUGUGAAACAUGUACACAAAGGGAAACUCAUUAGGCUUAAUUGUCCCAAGCACCACGACCUUAUAGUAUGGUCAUGAGGGGGAGAGAGGAUAAACCCAUGAUCAAUACUACAAGUUCGUGUACCACUAUGGUCUAAGACCAUGUUAUAUGGCUCGGUCAUUACUCGGCCAUAAAGGACCAUUCCUCGGCCGUAGAGGCCAUGAUACAAACGGCCAAACCAAAGAGGCCAUUACCCGGCUGAAGAGACCAUGAGAAUAAACGGCUCGGCCGUGACUUGGCCGCAUAGUGCAGGCUUGGCCGCACACAAUCCAUUACCUAUAAAGGUUCGGCCAAGUAAGCCAUUACCUAUAAAAGGUUCGGCCAUGUAAGCCAUUAUCUAUAAGACUAAGAUUCAAAAGUCUAUAAGCUUGGAGACAUUAUGUUUUACAUGUCUAGAAUGAUAAAAUUGUCAUAUGCAUCAGGCCAUAUAAGUGAGCAUAGAUAUUCCCAUCCCAGAUUGAAUACGGGUCAUAAAACCAGACAUACACCAUCUUAAGAGAUUUUGAAUAAACCACCACAUACAUACAUGUGCCGUCUAAAGAUGGAACCUCAGAAGACGAUUGGGAAUAUAUAAGAAUAUGACUUUCUCCACGAAAUCAAAAGGACCGAGAGCCAAAACAUGGGUGAUCAAAUAGUGGCCAGGUACGGAUUGCAUGAAACAAAUGAAUCCGAAUAUUAAAGGAGAAAGAUUAUAAGCUGGAUAAAGAAUGUUAAAAGUACGAAUGGUUUUAACCAUCAUUGUCUUGGCAAAGAUCCUCGGACUAGAGAUUAUAAUUUAAGACGUCCAAAGAAAGAUUAUAUAAAGCUAGCUAAUUGAGAAGCUAAUCGAAAUGCCAGACACUGACCCGAGAAAUGACUAACCAGCUUAGCACCAAAUGAAUGUCCUAGAAGAGACAUAAUCAAGUUGCUAUAGAGUCUAUACAAGAUAGACCAAGUGUUCCAUAAGAUAAAGGAAUCUCGGAUAGAAAAGAAUGGUGCAUAGAAUACAGAUCCGAGAUUAUAAGAGAAACCAUACCAGACAUUGAGAAAAGGCUGCGCAGCUACACAUCUAAGGUACCAAACCAUGUAGUCUUGGGACGCCAAGCUACUAGGUAAUAAAGGUCCUGGAUAAUAAGAUCUCAAAUCUAUAGAUCAUGUCUGGAACAUAAUGGAACCACAUGAAAGUGUCGACACACACACACAUUUGUAUAAAGAUACAUAAAGUUAUAGCACUUGAACAUAAAGAGAUGAACGAGGAUCAUGAACCCACGAAAGAGUACUCAUACAAU
rnacentral:lncRNA from 1 species